GUGGCGGGGAACAUGCUGCAGGCGGAGGGCACGGAGGCGCAAAGACCCUGGGCAGAAGCAAGCAUGGCAAGUUCAAGGUGCUGAGGACAGGAGACACGGCGGGGACACAGUGGAUAUAACAAACCAGUACGAAGCCCAGCAGUAACUGGGCGACAGAGGAGCAGCCAGACCCUGUGGGCGCAGAAGUGGAAGCACCCUGAAGACAGGAGAUGGCUGCAUGUCGGAUGGAUUACUGAACCAUCUCUCUCCCUGGAAGCGAUCGUGGGCAGUCGAUGACAGAGCACCUCAAAACUGAAGACCCCACUUCCUGUGGCUCCCUGACCCCUAGGCACGGGCUUUAUAGUGAUGCCUCCAACCUGUGCUCAGCCCAUGGAUGCUCAGGGAGCUCAGCCAAGAGGUACAAUAGCAGCCGGACAGCAGAGGGAUGGUCACCAGCCAGCCCCGCACCCCAGGACUGAGCAUCCAGUCUGCACACCAUGGGGGAGAAUGGCUGAGGGCACAGCGGAACCAGGGCUGGAGCCACAGGACUUUCCUUCCCCCCGUGCAGGGCCAUCACCCAGCCCCAGAGCCAGGCAGGUGGAUUUCCCAGGUGUGCGGCGAGGCCCAGCCCACCCAGCUCCCCUGAGUCUCCUAGACCAGACCUGGGGGUGCAGGAGGGACACUCACGUAAGUGUGGAAGAUUCCCCACCAGGGAAAUGGCUUCUUUUUAACCUGCACAGUGGAAGACCUGGGUCCAACCCCACCUCUGCCGUGGCCCAGCUGAGUGACCCAGGGCACUCCCUGGGCAAGUCACUUUGAUGGCUGAGUUUCGGUUUCUGUAAAAUGGCUUAAUGACGCACUACUGGAGGGGCUCAUGUGAGAACUCCAGGAGGUGAUAUGGGCAAAGCUCCUAGUACAGCGCCAGUGCCGGCCCCUGGCUGUGUCCAUCAGAGAAGCAGCGGGUGUCAGCAUCACGCCCUAGCCGGGCUGCUCCUCCGUGCUUCCCCCUCACUCCACAGAGACCCAAACAUACCCAGUCUGGCAGAGCUGUGUGCUGAGGCUGCCCAGUGUCUGGGGAGGUGCUUGGGGUGGGGGAUCUGCCCUAGUUAGGGGGUGCUCUGUGCCCCCAGCCACACCACCUGGAACAGCUGCCAGCAGAGGGAAGCCAGCAAGGUGCUGCCCCUCUUCACCCCCACUUCUCUGCCCCCAGACAGGCAGGAUGGGUCGUGUUUGUGCUUGGUGCUCCGUGUGACUCUGGAACCUUGGGGGCCUGGCCUGCCUGACUGAAAAGGUCCUGGUGUCCCGCUCCGCACCUGUCCAGGGCCCUUGGAGGCUUGUGUUACCAACAAUAGCUUCAAAUCCCUGAUUAAAAUGCUGCAGCGGGGAGAAUCAAUAACCAUCGGCAGCUGAGCCUCUAAUAAGUAUAAUAAUCACCAUUAAGGAAAGAUGGGGGAGUGAGUAGGGCUGGUAACAUAGUGAUUAUAUUAAUCUCCUCAUCAGAGCCGCAUCCGCCUGCUCCUGGCUUGCCCUUGCCUGGGCCCCGCAGGCGGCACAGGGGCUGCCAGCCAAAGCGGGCAGCCUGGCUCCAGCCUCUGCAGCCCCGCAGCUCCCACACUCCUUCCUUCCUUUCGUUAUUGUGGAUAAAAUCCCCUGCCUGGGUGGGCGGAGGCAAGAGAACCUUAGGGGGAGGAGCAGGAAAGCAGGGAGAGUUCCUGCUUGAGAGGAGAGGAGCCCUGUCUGGGGUUUGGCACUCAGGCUUCGAGAGUGUCUCACACAGCCUUCAAGAGUGUGGCGGCCGCACACCCCGCCACUCAGAGGAAGGCUGAGGCAGGCAGAUCGCAAAUUCAAGGCCAGCCUGGGUAACAGUGAGACACUGUCUCCAAACAGAGUCCUCACUUCGUGAUCUCCAUGGGGCCAAUGACUGAUUUUCAUCUCAUUUCACUCAGGAGAAACUUGCCUGGCGCUUACCACAUGUCAGGCUUUGCUCUAAGCUGCUGCAGUUCUAAACUCAUUUAAACAUCUCUGCAGCUCCCAGCUUAAUUAUCAUUAUUAUUCUAUCUUGCAGAUAAGAAACUGAGUCGGUUAUAAAUCACUCUUUCUUUUUUUUUUUUUGAGUUAUAAAUCAUUCACCUAAGAUGACUACACCUUGAAAAGCAGAUCCCAGACUUGGACUAGGUGGCCCAGCUUUACUGUCUGUGCACUCAGCAUCCUAGCCUGCCCUGCCUCCCUAACACGCAAGAAACAGGGCCAACUGGCUGGUCCUACCUCUCACGCUGUCCCUCCCAGGCCCUCCCAAGUACUGCAUUCAGCAGUAUCCCAGCAGCACCCUUCCUGUAUCUGAGCCCCAUCCUGGAACGUGAAGAUGUCUUGAAACACUUUCCUAGCCAGCUUUGCCAAGCACGAGAAGAGGCCCUGGCCUGCAGGAAAGAGCUCCACUCCCUUCUCAAGGCUGACACAGCCCCCUGCGGCUGUGGGGAUAGAACACCAACCUGAAAACCCCCUAGAUGUAGGUGGCUGACCUUCCAGGUGUCUCACCUGCUUCUACUGUAGAUAGGUAAGUUAACUAGGUAUCUUGUCGGCAGUUAGUCAGGGCACACCCUUGAGGAGCCAACGAGGACAGUCAAGGUACAGUCACUGAAAGCCCCAAUGGUAAAAGGAGAGAAACCACAGCCUCAAGCUGCCCCUAAGGAUAUAAAUAGCAGUGAUUCAUAUUCUAAAUAGGUAUCGAUCACUUGGUGAUCACAAGAUCUUGCCCACCUCUUCCAGGAAAGAUCCCUGACAGAAGAUCCUUGUGUGCUUGCUAUGGGACUUGCUUCCUCAUGGGAUCCCCAUUUAAUCAAUAUUACCUAAGUGACAUAUCUGUCCGAACCUUAUUGGUUGAUCAUAGUUUUGUCCACCUUGUGAUUUCUCAUCGGAUCAACACUACCUAGGCAACUGUACUUGUAAUCUUACUAAUUCACUAUAGUUUUGUCCCACCUUGAACCUGCUUCUCCUGGUAGGCUCUGUCUCAUAAAACACCUUUGAGAAGCGGGGUGGGUGGGCAGCCCACUUUCCGG